GUGAUGCUGAAAUUCCAGCAGCGCAGAUAGUGUUUUUCUAUCUGCUAUGGUUGCCUUAAGCUUUUGGGAGAUGGAAAUAUUUCAGGACUGUAUGUGAUUGUGGACGUUUUCUGGAGCAUUCACCAAAAGAGAGAGUACUGGCACCCUAGAAGAUGGACAUUUGACAGGCCACAAUAGACUGCUCCUUUCCCAGGUGGUUCAGAUGUAUGUCAGUAGACAGUGCCGAUAAAUGCUCUUCCAGCCUGAUCCUGUUCGAUCUGAUGUACAAACAGAUGCAAAAGAUAUUCAAGCCUAUGGAGUGAAACAGUGGUGCUUGCUGCUCGACAUGAAAGAUAUAUCUUCUGUGGGAGCUCAUUUCUUUUCUUUUGUUACAACAGAAAAUAAAAAGAUUUUAAUAAAAGUGAAGAUAAAACACUUGAUAAUAUGUCUGUGAACAUAGUUCCAUUUUACCUCAGCUGUGGCAUGAAAGACCAUGAAAUAUCUUCAGCUGGCUCUUCAUUAAAUCACACUAUCUUUAAACAUAUUUCAAGGAAAGUAAG
rnacentral:lncRNA from 1 species